rnacentral:rRNA from 1 species
UGAAGGUACCCUGUAAGAAAGGAUCGGCUAACUUCGUGCCAGCAGCCGCGGUAAGACGAGGGAUCCUAGCGUUGUUCGGAGUCAUUGGGCGUAAAGCGGGUGUAGGUGGCUUUGUAAGUCAGGUGUGAAAGCCUAGGGCUCAACCCUAGAAGUGCAUUUGAUACUGCGAAGCUUGAGUGCUAGAGAGGUUACUAGAAUUCUUGGUGUAGUGGUGAAAUACGUAGAUAUCAAGAGGAAUACCGGUGGCGAAGGCGGGUAACUGGCUAGACACUGACACUCAGACCCGAAAGCGUGGGGAUCAAACAGGAUUAGAUACCCUGGUAGUCCACGCCGUAAACGAUGGAUACUUGUUGUUGGAGGUAUUGACCCCUUCAGUGACGAAGCUAACGCGUUAAGUAUCCCGCCUGGGGAGUACGGUCGCAAGAUUAAAACUCAAAGAAAUUGACGG